rnacentral:rRNA from 1 species
GAUGAACGCUAGCGGCAGGCCUAAUACAUGCAAGUCGUGGGGCAGCAGGACUGUAGCAAUACAGUUGCUGUCGAGCGGGAAACGGGUGCGGAACACGUACGCAACUUACCCUGAACUGGGGGAUAGCCCGGGGAAACCCGGCUUUAUAACCCGUUAUAUACUGGAGUGGCAUCACUUUAUUAUUAAAGCUCCGGCGGUUCGGGAUGGGCGUGGUGCUGAUUAGGUAGUUGGUUGAGGUAACGGCUCACCAAGCCUACGAUCAGUAACUGGUGUGAGAGUACGACCAGUCACACGGGCACUGAGGCACAGGCCCGACUCCUACGGGAGGCAGCAGUAAGGAGUAUUGGGCAAUGGAGGCAACUCUGACCCAGCCAUGCCGCGUGAAGGAGGAAGGCCCUCUGGGAUGUAAUCUUCUGUGAUAGGGGACGAAACCUGUGUAUUCUUGCUCAGUUGACGGUACCCUAGGAAUAAGCACCGGCUAACUCCGUG